rfam:Triticum aestivum genome assembly, contig: Triticum_aestivum_CS42_TGACv1_scaffold_583426_7BL
CUUAUAGUCCCACCAUCCCAAAAUUUUUGUCUUUGAUUUGUCUAAAUACGGAUGUAUCUAGUUACAUUUUAGUGUCAGAUACAUCCGUAUCUAGACAAAUAUAAGACAAGAAUUUUGGGACGGAGGGAGUAUUUA